UCAGGAAGCCAAGCUCAUCUGGAUUCCCACCAUGGCCUGGGCCCCUCUGCUCCUCACGCUGCUCACUUACUGCGUUGGUUGGAGUUCCCAGAGUGCGCUGACUCAGACAAGCUCCACCAUGGCAGUGAAACCGGGGGAGACGGCCGAGCUGCACUGCACGCUGCAAGGAGUGGAUUUCAUUAGUAAAAACCACCCAUCCUGGUAUCAGCAGAGAUCGGGGAAGGCCCCUCGGUUACUGAUCUAUGACUCUAGGAGCAGAGCCUCCGGGAUCCCCGAGCGUUUCUCUGGUGAGACAUAUGGUAACAGGGCGUCGUUAACCAUCACUGGAGCCCAGGCCGAGGAUGAGGCUGAUUAUUACUGUGCUGUGUGGACUGGGAGUGCUCCUCACAGUGACACAGUCAGAUGGGGAACUGAGACGAAAACUCCCCUGUUGAACGAAGCCUUCCUUUUCGCUGCAUAGCAGCUGCA